UUUCGCUCUUGUUGCCCAGGCUGGAGUUCAGUGGUGUGAUCUCGGCUCAUUGCAACCUCAGCCUCCAGGGUUCAAGGGAUUCUCCUGCCUCAGCCUCCCAAGUAGCUGGGAUUACAGGCAUGAGCCACCGUGCUGGGCCUCCAUGUGGGUUUGAAAUUGUCUCAAAUGCCCAUGCUAAUACAAAACAAAACUUGUUCUCCUCUGCGUUGGUCCCUCUUAGCAACAUUAUGUCCAACAUGGAGGGAAAUGUUUAUCAAGGGAAGCAGACAUAACAACAGGAGAUAGUAAUCAAAUUUUAAUUAAUUAAGGGGAAAAGUGAAGAAAAUGAGAAAAAAUGAUGCAAAGCCACAUAUCUGAGAAAUGCAGAGGUCACAAUCGAGAAUUAUUUUGUAAGACGAAAUGUUGGAGAGACAAGAACUUAAUCAAAUGAAGACAGUUAAUCAGAUAGAACCAGUCAAAUACCAAGUUGAUUGACAAUUGGAGUAUGUUUGGGGUCCAGUUAAAUGAAUGACUGAAUGUGAAAGGAAACCUUAAGAUGGAAAUGCUUGUGCUAGAUGGGUUAUCUCCUUAUUUUUGUGUGCGUGAGUGCUGCUACCAUUUACCUAGUUCCCCCAAUGAGAAGGUCAUGCAAUAUGAAUUCUCCAUUUUUCCACGUGCCUUCUUAUAUCCAAUCAAUUAUCACAUCCUAUGAACUCUAUCUCACUUGUCAAUAUAAUAUUCUUCUCUAGCCCACUCUGCUGCUUGAGGUCAGACACGUGUCUUAUCAUGCCUACACAAUAAACUCUCUCCUCCUUUAGCUAAUUCUUCAUAUUCCUUCCAGAGCAGUCUUUCUGAUACACAAAUACAAUUGUGCGAAAAAGGAAAAAAAGAAAAGAAAAAAAAAAUCCAGAGGCUCCCUAAAACCUAUGUCUAUUUUUCAGGUCUAGGCCACUCGGAUUACCCUCUAUCACCAUCUAAAUCACCUGUGGCCAUCAUUUUAGUUGCUAUUUUUAUUCUGUUGCUUUACAGUUCUCCUGAAUGGAAAAUGUCCCAAAGAAAUAGCACGAGUUGGUACAAUAUUCCCCAACUGACUCAUUAUUAACUCAGGGGAAAGCUAAGAAAUGCUCCAAUGUCAGCUGGGUGCAGUGACUCACACCUGCAAUCCCAGCACUUUGGGAGGCCAAGGAGGGUGGAUCACGAGGUCAGGAGAUGGAGACCAUCCUGGCUAACAGGGUGAAACCACAUCCCUACUAAAAAUACAAGAAAUUAGCCGGGUGUGUUGGCGGGCGCCUGUAGUCCCAGCUACUCGGGAGGCUGAGGCAGGAGAAUGGUGUGACCUGGGAAGCAGAGUUUGCAGUGAGCCGAGAUCGUGCCACUGCACUCCAGCCUGGGGAACAGAGCAAGACUACAUCUCAAAAAAAAAAAAAAAAAAAAGAAAGAAAGAAAAAGAAAAAGAAACACUCCAAUGUCUUUGCUGCAUCCUCCUUCCCAAAAUGUCUAGAGUUAUUUUUACUUCUGAAAACAGCAUGUGGAAUUAAUCAUUUGAAUCAUCGUGACUAA
rnacentral:lncRNA from 10 species